CAGCAGCCGCGGGAAUACGUAGGGUGCAAGCGUUAAUCGGAAUUACUGGGCGUAAAGCGUGCGCAGGCGGUUAUAUAAGACAGAUGUGAAAUCCCCGGGCUCAACCUGGGAACUGCAUUUGUGACUGUAUAGCUAGAGUACGGCAGAGGGGGAUGGAAUUCCGCGUGUAGCAGUGAAAUGCGUAGAUAUGCGGAGGAACACCGAUGGCGAAGGCAAUCCCCUGGGCCUGUACUGACGCUCAUGCACGAAAGCGUGGGGAGCAAACAGGAUUAGAUACCCCAGUAGUCCUGUCUCUUAUACA
rnacentral:rRNA from 1 species